AGUAGCAUAAUCAAUAGUCUUUUAAUUGAAGGCUUGAAUGAACGGUUGAACGAGAAAUAUACUGUCUCUAGCAAAUAAAUUGAAAUUUACUUUUAAGUGAAAAGGCUUAAAUACAUUUAAGGGACGAUAAGACCCUAUAAAGCUUCAUAUUAAAUAUUGUAUAAUUUUAUAAACAGAACUAAAAUAUAAUAAACAAUAAAUAAUAUUUUAUUGGGGUGAUAUAAAUAUAAUAAUUAACUAUUCUAACUCUUUUACAAUAGUAUUUGAUUUAAACUAUAAAGAUCCUUUAUUUAAGAUUUUAAGAUCAAGUUACUUUAGGGAUAACAGCGUUAUUUUUUUUAAGAGUCCUCAUCAAAAAAAAAAAUUGCGACCUCGAUGUUGAAUUAAAAUAUCUUUAUGGUGCAGAAGCUAUACAAGAAAGUCUGUUCGACUUUUAAAUUUUUACACGAUUUGG
rnacentral:rRNA from 1 species